UACGUAGGGUGCGAGCGUUUAAUCGGAAUUACUGGGCGUAAAGCGUGCGCAGGCGGUUGUGCAAGACAGAUGUGAAAUCCCCGGGCUCAACCUGGGAAUUGCAUUUGUGACUGCACGGCUAGAGUGUGUCAGAGGGGGGUAGAAUUCCACGUGUAGCAGUGAAAUGCGUAGAGAUGUGGAGGAACACCGAUGGCGAAGGCAGCCCCCUGGGCUAACACUGACGCUCAUGCACGAAAGCGUGGGGAGCAAACAGG
rnacentral:rRNA from 1 species